AAUAAUUCAUGACCAAGGCACCAGGUGUUAGACACCCUGAAGCUGUUAGCUGCAAGUAAGGUGAAGAACCCCUGCCCCGAGCUGACUUCACGUCUUCUCUGAAGGAUGACUGCUCAUUCAGAUCUCACAAAAUGAAUGUUUAAAGAAAGUCACCAGAAAGGAGAGAAUAUGAAGGCAAUAAAAGUGCCGUGCUAGGCCUGGCGGAACUGCAAAUACAUCAAGGGUUCAUUCUCCUCUGUUUGCCAUUAUUCACAUUUGGCAGCCAUGGAAUGUCACACCUGAGCUAUUGGGGCUCCCACUCUCAAGA